AGCCCAGCAACUCCUAUCCCUACCUCCUCGUGGUACUGGCCGGGGUACGAGUAACCUUGGGGAAGAUCGGGUAACCAACCCCCGGUGGGAACUUUGGUCGUAUGCUGACAGGGAAGG
rfam:Aedes aegypti strain Liverpool supercont1.618 genomic scaffold, whole genome shotgun sequence.